CGCCAUUUUUGUUGUUAUUUAAUAUCUUUUUGUUCAAAUAUUAUUAUUAUUGUCAUUAUUUAUUGUUCCCUGACAUAAAUAUUCCUAAGUAAACAUUAAAACAUUACCUAAUCAAUGAUUAAAGUGGAUUAAACAUAGUGUUUAAUAGGUUAUAAAUUAAAUUGACAGCUGUCAUCUGUCAAUUUCUUCUUUUUUAGGUCAAAUUAAUACGAUUUAGGGAUUUCUAGGGGAAAUUUGAGCUCCCGUCUAGGGAUAUUCUGAAAUUUCAUCUGGCAACCCUGAAUCAACUUAGGCCCGGUCUUUUCACCUCCGAAUAAAUAUGCUGUUAUCUGGCAGUUAGCUAUCUGGAGGAUAAAUAUUUAUUCGCCAGAUAAAAUGUACCCGUCUUUUCACGUCAAUUUAUGUUCCAGUUAGUUAUCCGGUAGAUAAGCUUAAAACUUUAACUUAACCUAACAUAAUUAGAUUCAAAGAUGAUUUUAUCGAUUUUAUUUCCAUUUUGGAAGAAGGAAUGAAGGAAAU
rnacentral:lncRNA from 1 species